UUUUUUGAAUAAUCAAUGACUAAUGAAUUUCUUUAAGAAGUCUUUGUUCAUACGAAUUUUAAAAAGUAUAUAUUCUCCCGAAAAACCGUGAAAUAAUUGAAAAACCCGUACAAUAAUUGAACACACGGCGGCAUUCGGCAAAUUCCGUCACGUAACCCAACUUGUAAAGAAACGACGCCCGCUGUAAUUUCAACGACCCCAAAAGUCAUCAAAUUUUCUUAUAUACCAACCUUAAAUUUACUGUAUGGAGACGUCUGCGUAUUUUCAACUUUGCUAGGACCAUGGACGCGGUGGUGGUGAAGGCUGAGAAUCCGACCCGAAAGAAUUUGGGAAAGGAUCGAGUACGGGUCCAGAGGAAAACCCUGGAGGCGGUGCUCGAGCAAUGCCAGAUGGCCCUCCAGCAGCUCACCUCAGACUGCGAUGAUGACCUUGCUGGUACCGAGGUCUCCGGCGAUAGCUCAUCGGCGACGUGCUGUGAUACCGAGGCCGCUGAGGUCAGCCUUUGUUUUAUUUAUUUUUUGUCUAGUUUUUUGGGAACUAAUGAACUUGUUUGAAUUUCGGUCAUUUGCUGUAGUCGAAUACCGUGAGUAUUCAAUUAUAUUGGACUUGAGAGUAAUUUUUCUUUGUUGCUUUUUAGCUAUUUGCUUGUCUGAAAGAGUAUGCGUUGAUUUUUUUUCUCUCCCCUUUGUUGGCAAGAAAUUAGCUUUUCCUAUUGUGAAUUUCAUUGCUCAUAAAUUGUGGGAUAGGUUUAGCCUUAAGGAGGUUCCAUUGUCAGAUGUUGGGUUCUACGUUUUCAAAUUUGAUUUUCUCGGUCAAGCUCUUUUGGUUCUUGAAGGAACACCUUGGCAUAUGGCUAAUAGGCCACUUAUUCUGAAGCGUUGGAAACCUAAUAUGACUUUGGCCAAGGAGAAUCUACAUUGCAUUCUUGUUUGUGUGAAGCUUUAUAAUAUUCCUUUUGAGUACUGGACAACGGAGGGAUUGAGUCAUGUAGCUAAUGCAGUGGGACAUCGUCUACAGGCAGAUACAAUCACUCUUACACGUAAACGUCUCGGCUUUGCACGUGUUUGUGUUGAGAUUAAUGCUUUGGAGGAGUUAGUGGAGGAUUUUGAUUUCCAUUGUGCUAAUGGGGAUUGGAUAACUAUUCGUGCUAAGUUUGAAUGGGUCCCCAUUAAAUGUUCGGAAUGUAGGGUAUUUGGCCACAAUUGCUUUUCUCAUACUAAGCCUAGUGAGAGUAAGGAUAAGCUUACCAAGGUUAGGAUUGCUAAGGAUAAGGCUGGUCAGAGUGGUGUAGCUUAUGAGAAACCACCUAUCGAAGACGAAUGGACCCAUGUCUCACAUUAGAGAAAGUCUACAGGUAGCGUUGAUCUUAGUGUUGCUAUGCUUAUCCAAGAAGAUGGCAUCCAUACUUUGGAUGAUAAUUCUAAGGAGGUCCAAGGAAAGGUUGAUUUGCAACCAUUGCAUAGCGAACUUGAUCAGUAAGGAGGUCCAAGGAAAGGUUGAUUUGCAACCAUUGCAUAGCGAACUUGAUCAGCAUCUGGUUGUUGUCAAGGUAGCUCAUGGUGAAAUUGAUAAGUCAUCUGAUCUUGAUUUGCAGCUGGUGGAGUCGAAUGUGCCUAAUGAGACUUUUGAAACUAGAGAAAGGGAAGUUACUCCAAUUUCACUUGCCAUUCUAGGUGAAGAUGAUAGUGAUACUUCUAUCCCUCAGUCUAACAUGUUGGCGACAAAAGUUAAAGAUUCACUUUAAAAGAAAAAGAAUGGAUCAGGGAGUAAGCAUAAGAAAGGUAAGAAGCAUCGCUCCCCUAGGGGAGGUAGAUGGCGUUAGCCAUACUGAGGUUGUGAUUCCUUUCUUGACUUUAAUAAUGUUUUUUGGAUGCUGGAAUGUUGGAGGGUUAAAUGAAAGAGUAUCUGUCCAACUCCGUUGAAUCCAAGGCAUGUUACAUUGUAAUUAAUUUUCUAUUUAAUGUUCUAAAUUUCACGAUUUUAUGUUUUUGAAUGGAUUUAAUUCAAUUAUGAAAUUUCGAAUAAAUUAAGGUUUAAAUUUCCAACUAAAUCUUUUUGCAUCAAAUAUAAUAUAUAAAAUGAUAUCAGUAACACCUCCGAUUUCAAAUCAAUGCAAUUUGGGGUUUUACAAUUCUUAACAUUUGUUGAGGCUUAUGUAUAUUCUAAACCUAUUUCAAACCUCGCGAAAAUAAAAUAAGUAACUUAUUGUCUAUAUAGUGAUCAAGCAUUCAUAUAAUCCAUAAGGAUGGAGUACCAAUCAAUAACACAAAUCAACUAAAUAAGUAGUCUUCGAAUUUAAACGGUGAAAUAAAAUAUUUGGCAUCCCAGCACAAAUAUAUUUAACCUAGCAUCUGAAUAAUGAUAUUAUAACAAAAGCAACAAAAAUUUGUCGCUCGAAAUAUAAUUGCAGAAAAUAGAUGUAAAAUCAAUUUACACGAAAUUAAGCAAUAAUUCUCUAAAGUCAUCUUUUUUCGUUGGAAAAUAUGAGAUACAGAUGAAAAAGUGGAGAGUAAUAUUUUUACAAUUUUUUUUUAAAUUACAAAUUGAUCAUUUUUCAUUAUAAAAUAGGAUAACGACCCAAAAGAAUAGAGUGGAAUAGGAAAUGAGAAUAAUAAUAAUGUUGAAAACAGAAAAAUAUUUGACGUUUUUUGAAUAAUCAAUGACUAAUGAAUUUCUUUAAGAAGUCUUUGUUCAUACGAAUUUUAAAAAGUAUAUAUUCUCCCGAAAAACCGUGAAAUAAUUGAAAAACCCGUACAAUAAUUGAACACACGGCGGCAUUCGGCAAAUUCCGUCACGUAACCCAACUUGUAAAGAAACGACGCCCGCUGUAAUUUCAACGACCCCAAAAGUCAUCAAAUUUUCUUAUAUACCAACCUUAAAUUUACUGUAUGGAGACGUCUGCGUAUUUUCAACUUUGCUAGGACCAUGGACGCGGUGGUGGUGAAGGCUGAGAAUCCGACCCGAAAGAAUUUGGGAAAGGAUCGAGUACGGGUCCAGAGGAAAACCCUGGAGGCGGUGCUC
rnacentral:lncRNA from 1 species